rnacentral:pre_miRNA from 1 species
AGGUUCUGUGGUACACUUGGACUUGGACUCUGGAGCAGUCAGUGCAUGACAGAACUUGG